AUCGCAAGCCGGCUUAUCGUCCCGAUAGCUAUCGGGAAGGAAAGUCCGGGCAACACAGAGCAUCGUACUUCCUAACAGGAAGGUGUGCCGAAAAGCACAACAGAAAGUGCCACAGAAAACAAACUACCUUAACCCGACUUGUCGGGAUUGGGAAAAGGUGAAAAGGUGGAGUAAGAGCCCACCGCUUUGAUGGCGACAUCAAAGGCAUGGUAAACCUUACGAGUUGAAAGGCCAAAUAGGUUACGUUCACGAAAGUGAUUAGCGGCUCGUUAAUAGCGCAAGCUGACGUAAUUGGGUAGGCUGCUCGAUUCUGAUGGCAACAUCAGAACCAGAUAAAUGAUAAGCGUUACUUCCUGAUAACAAUCGGGAUGUAAUACAGAACCCGGCUUACAGGCUUGCAUUUUUU
rnacentral:RNase_P_RNA from 1 species